rnacentral:rRNA from 1 species
AGUGAACGCUGGCGGCAGGCCUAACACAUGCAAGUCGAGCGGCAGCGGGUUCCCGCGAGGGGAUGCCGGCGAGCGGCGGACGGGUGAGGAACACAUCGGAAUCUGCCUGGUUGUGGGGGAUAACGUAGGGAAACUUACGCUAAUACCGCAUGCGACCCUGAGUCGACGGACUGGGGGUGAAAGUGAGGGACCUUCGGCCGUCACGCGACCAGAUGAGCCGAUGUCGGAUAGCUAGUUGGCGGGGUAACGGCCCGCCAAGGCGACGAUCCGUAGCUGGUCUGAGAGGAUGAUCAGCCACACUGGGACUGAGACACGGCCCAGACUCCUACGGGAGGCG